rnacentral:tRNA from 1 species
GCCGAAAUAGCUCAGUUGGCAGAGCAACGCACUCGUAACGCGUAGGUCACAGGUUCGAUCCCUGCUUUCGGCA